AUAUAUUAACCCUAGGGAUCCUGUAUACCCAACCCAUCACAACUCAUCAAUGGCGCCUGAGAUGAGAAGCUGCAGCAUCAACCAAGAUGACGAUGAAGAUGGAGUCUUGAAAAUUCCAUUGAUUAAAUCAGCGGAUAAGCGAUUUUACCAGAGUAUUGAUGAUUUCUUGUGCUUUGCCUUGUAAGCCCGUCUAUGACGCUCCACAUCCAAGUGCUCUAGCCAAGCCGGACCCAAAUUUGAAAAGGGCGGGCGGCUGCGGGCGUUAUGACAUCCUUACUACCUACCAGCUUUGGCAUGAUAUGCAUUCUUAGAUGAAGAAUGAAGGGCUACAUUCAAAGUUUCCAGGCCAAACUGCAAAAAUGAAAUUGGGAUUAAGCAAACCAAUUGAUCAUGCAAAAUAAAUGCAUCAUUGGUCUUGUUCUCUCAAAUUUGGCACUUUGGAAGCAUUCUCAUUGGUUGUGUAUUAAAAAUAUUUGUUAAAGUGCAUUAUACAACAAAAAGUUGUAACAUUCAAAAUUUGUGUUGUAUUUUGUAUUUAAUUCAUUCUUAGACCAUUCACAUCGUAUGUGUUAAAAAAUAUUUGUUAAAGUGUGUUAUAUGACAAAAAGUUAUAAAAGUGAGAUAUGUAUCAAAAUUUGUCUAUGGGUGCUCUAAUAGAGUUGUAUUCUCUGGUUUCCAUAUUCAAAGUUUGUGUUCUCUUAUGUUCAAUUCACUCUUAGAGAACUACAGUACUUGUGUUAAAUAUUGAAUCGUAGUGUAUUUUAUAUGAUGAAAA